ACAGCUCGAAAGCCGCGAGGCUCACUACGCACAGGAUGUUUGCCGCAUCCGUUCUCGUGAGCGGGCUAAGGUCUGAGUAUUCGAGUCUCCCUAGAUAGACUCUUGCAGGGUCCAGUGUUAAUCAUGCUGAGCAGCACACCAGAAAUGCAGCUGCAGUCUCAACUGAUCCAAAGAUCCUCUUUGGAGGGGAGGGCACGAGAUCGCGCGGCUUUGGGAUAUGCUGUGGGGGCUGGGUGGGCAUCUUCUCUUUCUGGCAUCGGCCAGUGCAUGUAGAUCUAGGCUAUCGCGCGUCCCUGUGCCGUCACUGGCGCUCUGGAAAUACACAGGGAAUGAAACAUUAUAUGUUUCAUUCUCAGACCUUGAGGCACAAGCUUGGGCGCCAUGGCGCCCUUGCACAAUGAAAUGAUUGGCUUAACAAUCGUUUUUCCAUGAUGCGAAUUCUGAAUCCGCAUCGUGGGGUCGACCAGCUCAUCUCCAGGCUAAAACGUGUAUGAGGCAGUUGAUGUACAUGCAUUCGAUGCUAGGAUGUCCAUCCUUCAGUUCACUUCGCGGCUUGUGCAUUCUUUGAAUCCACAAAACUCGAUUCAGACUACUCUUUGGCUGU
rnacentral:RNase_P_RNA from 2 species